rnacentral:rRNA from 1 species
UACGAAGGGGGCUAGCGUUGCUCGGAAUCACUGGGCGUAAAGCGCACGUAGGCGGAUUGUUAAGUCAGGGGUGAAAUCCUGGAGCUCAACUCCGGAACUGCCUUUGAUACUGGCGAUCUCGAGUCCGGGAGAGGUGAGUGGAACUGCGAGUGUAGAGGUGAAAUUCGUAGAUAUUCGCAAGAACACCAGUGGCGAAGGCGGCUCACUGGCCCGGUACUGACGCUGAGGUGCGAAAGCGUGGGGAGCAAACAGG